rnacentral:rRNA from 1 species
UGCGUAGGCGGGUCUUUAAGUCAGGGGUGAAAUCCUGGAGCUCAACUCCAGAACUGCCUUUGAUACUGAAGACCUUGAGUUCGGGAGAGGUGAGUGGAACUGCGAGUGUAGGGGUGAAAUUCGUAGAUAUUCGCAAGAACACCAGUGGCGAAGGCGGCUCACUGGCCCGAUACUGACGCUGAGGCACGAAAGCGUGGGAGCAAACA